rnacentral:rRNA from 2 species
CGAGCGGCGGACGGGUGAGUAAUGCUUAGGAAUCUGCCCAGUAGUGGGGGAUAGCCCGGGGAAACCCGGAUUAAUACCGCAUACGUCCUACGGGAGAAAGCAGGGGAUCUUCGGACCUUGCGCUAUUGGAUGAGCCUAAGUCGGAUUAGCUAGUUGGUGGGGUAAAGGCCUACCAAGGCGACGAUCCGUAGCUGGUCUGAGAGGAUGAUCAGCCACAUCGGGACUGAGACACGGCCCGAACUCCUACGGGAGGCAGCAGUGGGGAAUAUUGGACAAUGGGGGCAACCCUGAUCCAGCCAUGCCGCGUGUGUGAAGAAGGCUUUCGGGUUGUAAAGCACUUUCAGUAGGGAGGAAAACCUUAUGGCUAAUACCCAUGAGGCUUGACGUUACCUACAGAAGAAGCACCGGCUAACUCCGUGCCAGCAGCCGCGGUAAUACGGAGGGUGCAAGCGUUAAUCGGAAUUACUGGGCGUAAAGCGCGCGUA